UACGUAGGGAGCUAGCGUUGUCCGGAAUCAUUGGGCGUAAAGAGCGUGUAGGCGGCUUGGUAGGUCCGCUGUGAAAACUCGAGGCUCAACCUCGAGAUGUCGGCGGAAACCACUUGGCUAGAGUCCGGAAGAGGAGAGUGGAAUUCCCGGUGUAGCGGUGAAAUGCGCAGAUAUCGGGAAGAACACCUAUGGCGAAGGCAGCUCUCUGGGACGGUACUGACGCUGAGACGCGAAAGCGUGGGGAGCGAACAGG
rnacentral:rRNA from 1 species